rnacentral:rRNA from 1 species
GAUGAACGCUGGCGGCGUGCCUAAUACAUGCAAGUCGAGCGAACGGACGAGAAGCUUGUUUCUUUGUUGUUAGCGGAGGACGGGUGAGUAACACGUGGAUACUCUACCUAUCAGACUGGGAUAACUUCGGGAAACCGGAGCUAAUACCGGAUGAUCUUCUGAACCGCAUGGUUCAAAAGUGAAAGUCGGUCUUGCUGUCACUUCUAGCUGGAUCGGCGCUGCAUUAGCUAGUUGGUAAGGUAAAGGCUUACCACGGCAACGAGGCAUAGACGACCUGAGAGAGGGAUCGGCCACACGGGAACGGGGACACGGUCCAGACGCCUACGGGAGGCAGCAGUAGGGAAUCUUCGGCAAUGGGCGGAAGCCUGACGGAGCGACGCCGCGUGAGUGAUGAAGGUCUUCGGAGCGUGAAGCUCUGUUAUGAGGGAAGAACAGAUGUGGAAGGAACUGUGCACAGCGUGACGGUAACUAAUCAGAAAGCCACGGCUAACUACGUG